rnacentral:rRNA from 1 species
UGGGGAAUUUUGGACAAUGGGCGAAAGCCUGAUCCAGCCAUGCCGCGUGAGUGAAGAAGGCCUUCGGGUUGUAAAGCUCUUUCGGUGGGGAAGAAAUUGCACGGGUUAAUAGCCUGUGUAGAUGACGGUACCUGGAGAAGAAGCACCGGCUAACUACGUGCCAGCAGCCGCGGUAAUACGUAGGGUGCGAGCGUUAAUCGGAAUUACUGGGCGUAAAGCGUGCGCAGGCGGUUUGGUAAGUCAGAUGUGAAAUCCCCGGGCUCAACCUGGGAACUGCAUUUGAGACUGCCAAGCUGGAGUUUGGCAGAGGGGGGUGGAAUUCCACGUGUAGCAGUGAAAUGCGUAGAGAUGUGGAGGAACACCGAUGGCGAAGGCAGCCCCCUGGGCCAAUACUGACGCUCAUGCACGAAAGCGUGGGGAGCAAACAGG